rnacentral:rRNA from 1 species
CGACCAGACUCCUACGGGAGGCAGCAGUGGGGAAUAUUGCACAAUGGGGGAAGCCCUGAUGCAGCAACGCCGCGUGAAGGAAGACGGUUUUCGGAUUGUAAACUUCUGUUCUUAGUGAAGAAGAAUGACGGUAGCUAAGGAGCAAGCCACGGCUAACUACGUGCCAGCAGCCGCGGUAAUACGUAGGGGGCAAGCGUUAUCCGGAUUUACUGGGUGUAAAGGGAGCGUAGACGGCGGUGCAAGCCAGAUGUGAAAGCCCGGGGCUCAACCCCGGGACUGCAUUUGGAACUGUGCUGCUAGAGUGUCGGAGAGGCAGGCGGAAUUCCUAGUGUAGCGGUGAAAUGCGUAGAUAUUAGGAGGAACACCAGUGGCGAAGGCGGCCUGCUGGACGAUGACUGACGUUGAGGCUCGAAAGCGUGGGGAGCAAACAGGAUUAGAUACCCCGGUACA